rnacentral:rRNA from 1 species
ACUCCUACGGGAGGCAGCAGUGGGGAAUAUUGCACAAUGGGCGCAAGCCUGAUGCAGCCAUGCCGCGUGUGUGAAGAAGGCCUUCGGGUUGUAAAGCACUUUCAGUCGUGAGGAAGGUAGUGUAGUUAAUAGCUGCAUUAUUUGUACGUUAGCGACAGAAGAAGCACCGGCUAACUCCGUGCCAGCAGCCGCGGUAAUACGGAGGGUGCGAGCGUUAAUCGGAAUUACUGGGCGUAAAGCGCAUGCAGGUGGUUGUUAAGUCAGAUGUGAAAGCCCGGGGCUCAACCUCGGAAUUGCAUUUGAAACUGGCAGACUAGAGUACUGUAGAGGGGGGUAGAAUUUCAGGUGUAGCGGUGAAAUGCGUAGAGAUCUGAAGGAAUACCGGUGGCGAAGGCGGCCCCCUGGGACAGAUACUGACACUCAGAUGCGAAAGCGUGGGGAGC